rnacentral:rRNA from 1 species
GUCUCAGUUCGGAUUNUAGGCUGAAACUCGCCUACAUGAAGCUGGAGUUGCUAGUAAUCGCGAAUCAGCAUGUCGCGGUGAAUACGUUCCCGGGCCUUGUACACACCGCCCGUCACACCAUGAGAGUUGGCAAUACCCAACGUACGUGAUCUAACCCGCAAGGGAGGAAGCGUCCUAAGGUAGGGUCAGCGAUUGGGGUGAAGUCGUAACAAGGUAUC